rnacentral:rRNA from 1 species
GUCCACGCCGUAAACGUUGGGCGCUAGGUGUGGGGAACCUUCCACGUUCUCCGUGCCGUAGCUAACGCAUUAAGCGCCCCGCCUGGGGAGUACGGCCGCAAGGCUAAAACUCAAAGGAAUUGACGGGGGCCCGCACAAGCGGCGGAGCAUGCGGCUUAAUUCGAUGCAACGCGAAGAACCUUACCUAGGCUUGACAUAUACCGAAAACUCGUAGAGAUACGGGGUCCGCAAGGGCGGUAUACAGGUGGUGCAUGGUUGUCGU